CCAUCCCUUUCUCCCUCUAUAUAUCUCCUUUCCCCACCCCUCCUGCCCACCAUAGCAUCCUUUUGAGGCCAGUUGCAGUUUCUUCUCUUCUUUCCUCUCUCAUCUCUCUCCUUGCCUAUUCCCUCCUCUCGCGGCCACAGCUUUGAUGGUAUAUAUCAUGCAUGUGGUGCACCACGAGCAGCUGAAGCUGCCAGCAUGAUCUGAUCUCUUCUUUCCUUUCUUCCAAAUCUUGGAUGAAUAUGCACAUCAGAUCAUGUUGCAGUUUCAUCUGCUGAUCGGAGCACCAAAAAACCCUAAACCCCCAAGUCCUUUCAUACCCUAAAUCCCUGCUCGGACUUCUCGAGGAACCCCUAGAAAUUGAGAUCUACAGAGAGAGCGCAAAAUGACAUGAGGGCUGAUCGGCAAUUGAGAGAAGAUGUGGGAAAGAAGAGAAGACAGAAGAGGUACUUCUUAGGUUUUAAAGUGGAGGGGAUACGGCUUUGGUCUCUCACACAUGGUUGGUACUUUUGAGAUCUUGACCUUGGAGGCUGAACCUUGCAUCCUUCCCUGUGAAUUGCUAUCGAAUUCCAUUCUCUUGAACUUUCUUUUGCUUUCCAUCUUUAUAGAUUAUUGCUCUCUUAACUUGGAUAAUACUUUCUCUAAUAACCGUUUCCUAAGGGCUUUCAACCUUGAAUUUACAUAUAUUGAGAAAGAAAAAUUAGUG